rnacentral:tRNA from 1 species
GUCCAUAUAGCUCAGCAGGUAGAGCACUUCCUUGGUAAGGAAGAGGUCACCGGUUCAAAUCCGGUUAUGGGCU